rnacentral:tRNA from 1 species
GCGACACUAGCUCAUCAGGAUAGAGCAGCUGCCUUCUAAGCAGCAGGUAGGCCGUUCGAGUCGGUCGUGUCGCG